rnacentral:rRNA from 1 species
AUGCAAGUCGUAACAAGGUAAGCGUGUCCCUUGUACCGACUGGAUGAGCAGCGAACCGGGUGAGUAACGCGUGGGGAAUCUGCCUUUGAGCGGGGGACAACAUUUGGAAACGAAUGCUAAUACCGCAUAAAAACUUUAAACACAAGUUUUAAGUUUGAAAGAUGCAAUUGCAUCACUCAAAGAUGAUCCCGCGUUGUAUUAGCUAGUUGGUGAGGUAAAGGCUCACCAAGGCGAUGAUACAUAGCCGACCUGAGAGGGUGAUCGGCCACAUUGGGACUGAGACACGGCCCAAACUCCUACGGGAGGCAGCAGUAGGGAAUCUUCGGCAAUGGACGAAAGUCUGACCGAGCAACGCCGCGUGAGUGAAGAAGGUUUUCGGAUCGUAAAACUCUGUUGGUAGAGAAGAACGUUGGUGAGAGUGGAAAGCUCAUCAAGUGACGGUAACUACCCAGAAAGGGACGGCUAACUACGUGCCACAGCCGCGGUAAUACUUAGGUCCCCGAGCGUUGUCCGGAUUUAUUGGGCGUAAAGCGAGCGCAGGUGGUUUAUUAAGUCUGGUGUAAAAAGGCAGUGGCUC